rnacentral:lncRNA from 1 species
UAAAGAGUUAUAUGGUGUUCUACCUAUAAAAUUAAAGAUCUUUAAGUCUAGUUUCUAAAUAUUCAAACCGUUUGUUAUUUUGAUAUUUAUACAAGACGUUAUGGGUGUUUAAAUAGAAGGUGUCCAACAAGGAACAAUUUUAAUAGGAUGUACAACUUGUAUAGCACAAGUGCAAGGUACAACUCGACGAAGCACGGGCAGAUUCUUUUAAACACGGAUUUGGCUUAUUUCUUUCAUUUCUUUCAUUUGGCUUGGAUUAUUUUGGAGAGAAUUUCAAGGGGGAUUUCAUCAAGCAUCAAAGGUGAGUUGUUUCUACUUAUUUCCAAGUUAAAUACAUGGAUUAGAGCUGAGAACUCAAGUAAUUUAUGGACAAAAAUUGUGGUUUAGGGCUUGAAACUCAAGAGAAUUAAAUGGUGAUUUGAGGGGUCAAAUGAACUCCGAUUUUUGUGAAUUUGGUAUGUAUAGACUCGUGGCGAGAUAAGGGUCGUGUUGAUGUAAAAAUUUCUGAAUUUCGAGACAUGGGCCCGGGGCUCGGGUUUUGCGAAUUUCGGGAUUUUCGACAUUUUUCGAGUCUUUUCGAUUGGGUUAUAUUCCCUUAUCCUAUUGUAACGUAUUCGUUGUAGUUUUGACUAGAUUCGACGCGCGAAGAGGUCGAUUCAAGAGGAAAGGGCAUUGCGGACUAGUCUACGGUCGGUUAGAGGUGAGUAAUAGAUGUAAAUUCUAUUAUGAGGGUUUGAAACCCCGGAAUUUCACAUCGUAACGCUAUAUUGAGGCGUGACACACACUCCAUGGCGAGUGCGGGGUCGGAUACUACUGG